rfam:Triticum aestivum genome assembly, contig: Triticum_aestivum_CS42_TGACv1_scaffold_642089_T_5AL-0.149132_7AS-0.126586
CAUAUACUCCCUCCGUUCAGAAUUACUUGUCGCAGAAAUGGAUGUAUCUGGAUGCAUUUUAGUUCUAGAUACAUCCAUUUCCGAGACAAGUAAUUCUGAAAGGAGGGAGUAACAU